UACGAAGGGGGCAAGCGUUGUCCGGAUUUAUUGGGCGUAAAGCGCGUGUAGGCGGCCCGGUAAGUCCGCUGUGAAAGUCCAGGGCUCAACCCUGGGAUGCCGGUGGAUACUGUCGGGCUCGAGUCCGGAAGAGGCGAGUGGAAUUCCUGGUGUAGCGGUGAAAUGCGCAGAGUAUCAAGGAGGAACACCAAUGGCGAAGGCAGCUCGCUGGGACGUGACUGACGCUGAGACGCGAAGCGUGGGAGCAAACAGG
rnacentral:rRNA from 1 species